CCUACGGGAGGCAGCAGUGGGGAAUAUUGCACAAUGGGGGAAACCCUGAUGCAGCAACGCAGCGUGAGGGAAGAAGUAUUUCGGUAUGUAAAGCUCUAUCAGCAGGGAAGAAAAUGACAGUACCUGACUAAGAAGCCCCGGCUAACUACGUGCCAGCAGCCGCGGUACUACGUAGGGGGCAAGCGUUAUCCGGAUUUACUGGGUGUAAAGGGAGCGUAGACGGCUGCGCAAGUCAGAAGUGAAAGGCCGGGGCUCAACCGCGGGACUGCAUUUGAAACUGUAGCGCUAGAGUGCAGGGUAGGUAAGUGGAAUUCCUAGUGUAGCGGUGAAAUGCUUAGAUAUUAGGAGGAACACCGGUGGCGAAGGCGGCUUACUGGACUGUAACUGACGUUGAGGCUCGAAAGCGUGGGUAGCAAACAGGAUUAGAUACCCCAGUAGUC
rnacentral:rRNA from 1 species